CCUACGGGAGGCAGCAGUGAGGAAUAUUGGUCAAUGGACGGAAGUCUGAACCAGCCAUGCCGCGUGCAGGAAGACGGCUCUAUGAGUUGUAAACUGCUUUUGUACAAGGGUAAACCUGAAUACGUGUAUUCAGCUGAAAGUACUGUACGAAUAAGGAUCGGCUAACUCCGUGCCAGCAGCCGCGGUAAUACGGAGGAUCCAAGCGUUAUCCGGAUUUAUUGGGUGUAAGGGGUGCGUAGGCGGAUUGAUAAGUUAGAGGUGAAAUGUCCGGGCUUAACUCGGGAACUGCCUUUAAUACUGUUGGUCUAGAGAGUAGAUGCGGUAGGCGGAAUGUAUGGUGUAGCGGUGAAAUGCUUAGAGAUCAUACAGAACACCGAUUGCGAAGGCAGCUUACCAAUCUAUAUCUGACGUUGAGGCACGAAAGCGUGGGGAGCAAACAGGAUUAGAUACACGUGUAGUC
rnacentral:rRNA from 1 species